UUUUUUUUUUUUUUUGAGACGAAGUCUUGCUCUGUCACCAGGCUGGAGUGCAGUGGCAUGAUCUCGGCUCACUGCAAACUUCGCCUCCCGGGUUCGAGGGAUUCUCCUGCCUCAGCCUCCCAAUUAGCUAGGAUUACAGGCAUUUGCCACCACACCGGCUAAUUUUUGUAUUUUUAGUAGAGACGGGGUUUCACCAUGUUGGCCAGGUUGGUCUCAAACUCCAGACCUUGUGAUCCACCCACCUCAGCCUCCCAAAGUGCUGGGAUUACAGGUGUGAGCCACCGCGCCCAGCCCCUAGGGCACCAUUACUGUGUGGCUGUAACAAUGAUCAGGCUGCACAGUUAUCACUGCAAUGAGUAAAAUGCUUGACUGAGCUGCAGUUGGUGUGGAAUAUUGUAGAUAGGUGUCCAUUUGGGGGCUGGAAGGAGGAUUUUUAAUUAAGGAACUGUCAACAGCCAGAGGCCCAGAAAUACUUGCAUCUUUGGAGCAUUGACCACGCCUCUCGCGAAGGGCUGCCUGGAGGAGGAGCCCUUGGCAUGCAGCAGUCUCUGCACUCACUUUGUCCUGAUGGGAUCGACUUGUGAAAUGAUCCUGCACUCCCAAAAAGGCAAGGCCUGUUUGGCCACUCACUAAUUUACUAGAUCAUUCCAUGGUUACUCUGCCCGCUGCCUGCAUGGGACAUAGUGCAGGGAGAGGCGCUCAGUGAACCUGUGGGUGGCCCAAGGGCAGGACGUCCUGGAGCACAUGAUAGGCUGAGGUUCACCAGCUGUCAUAGCGCAGGGCUUGUCCGAAAGCCUCAUUCAAGGAUCCAACCUAAUGGGAGGCAGAAAUGCUCAGGGCCAACCUCGCUGAAGAAGCAACGAGUGACUUGAGUGCUGAGUACUGAGUGCUGGGUGCUGUGCGCUGAGACCUCAGGACUGAAUGCUGGGUGCUGAGUGCUGAGACCUGAGUGCUGAGUGCUGAGUGAGGAGUAGGUUUCCAGAGGUGCAGGAGAGCAAGCCUCAAGGCAAAGGUGUACACGGGAAAUGAGCUCGGUGAGCUGGAGAGAGAACCCAGAGAUGCCGUGAGCAGGGAGAGUGUGGGCCAUGACCUGAGAGGAGUUUGGAGAGUGUGGGGCACCCACAUCCCACCUCACAGAUCUUGUUUAGAAACCGACAUAAGCGGGCGGUGUGUAUCGAGGGCUUUGGGCACAGGGACGGACGAGGUUGAUGAACAGAAAAACCCACUCAGACUCCGCGUGAAGAGCAGGUCACAAGGAGUCUCGUCCUGUGGCUCCCACAGAGGCCAGGUGACCCUAGCUGAGGCGGUGGCCGUGGAGAGACAGAGUUCAGUGAGACGCGCUCACAAGGACCUGGGCAGGCUGGAGAAAGGAGGACAAAGUGACUGUGGCCCGGGUGCUGGGUUUGGAAACUGGAUGAGGAAACCCAGGACGCAAGUGUUUCAGAAGGAGGGAAGGUUGUGGGUGUGGGAGGCCCUGGGGCAGAGGCCAUGCAGGAUGAGGUCUGAACAAUGUCCCUUCACCUGGGUGCCGGGAGGGAGACCCUCACUGAGCUCUGAGAGGGGCGUUUCGGUCAGGCGACUCGGCUGCACGCUCCACGUCCCAUAACAGGGGCAACAGGUGAGCAGAGGAGAAAGGCACAAGGCAGUGGAUGGGUGCCCAUGGUGGCAGGGGCAGUAGACGGGUGCCUGCGGUGGCAGGAGCAGUGGACAGGUGCCCAAGGUGGCAGGAGCAGUGGACAGGUGCCCACAGUGGCAAGGGCAGUGGAUGGGUGCCUGCUGUGGCAGGGGCAGUGGACAGGUGCCUGUGGUGGCAGGGGCAGUGGACGGGUGCCUGCUGUGGCAGGAGCAGUGGAUGGGUCCUGCAGUGGCAGGGGUCAGUGGAUGGGUGUCUGUGGUGGCAGGGGGCAGUGGACGUAUGCUCACAGUCACAGGGGAGCAGAGAACAGCUUCCC
ensembl:lncRNA